rnacentral:lncRNA from 1 species
GCCGCUGUACAUAGGUUAGGUGUCACCACCACUUUUCUCUUUUUCACUCCCAUUCAGAUGAGCACAAAGCACCAACAGAAGGAAGCAAUGGUAUCUUUAUCCCAAGUCUAAAAUCCCGAACCCUGGGCUCGGAUAUCGACUACAAUCCAAACAAGAAGGAUCCAAAAUGGGACUCAGAUCCUCAUACAGCUUCGGGAGGAUGUGUGAAUGAGAAAAGAGAAAGAGCAUCGGAUGCCUCCUCUGCAUCUCCAUCUUUAUCCCCACUGCAGAAAACUCUUCCAGAACAGCUGAAGGUUUUCAAAGGUGAUGACCGCAGAGGCUGCCAGCCCACAUCUCCCAAAAACCGUCGGAUGCUGUAUUCUGGAUCUGCCAGUAGUGGAUCGUCUAGACCAUCUUUUCCAGGCAGCCUGUUUCCGCUGGAGUCGUCGCCGCGGCAACAACGGAAGGCCCUCAACAUUUCGGAACCCUUCGCGGUGUCUGUACCUUUGCGUGUGUCUGCAGUUAUUAGAGCGGGACAGGGGUCUGGGGGGACUCUUUAAGCCCAGUAAGGAGGCUGGACCUCUGGAAGCCCAUCGCAGCGAAAGUAUUGGCACUGCUGGAUUGCGUGUCCCCAGCAGAAGCAGCAGUGGGAACUUCACAUUCACAGACUGGGAGACUGGACUAACAGGUCACUCCAGCAGCACUGGGUUCAGAGAGCACCUGCUCAGUGACAGCAGCGGAGGCAGCGGAUGCAGUAUCUAUAGCAACAGCAGCCCUUUCCCCACGGAAAAUGAGGAUCAGACUGGGGAAAGAGAUAUUACAGAUGCACUCACUCUGGGGACAACAAAGAGUAUGAUGAUUGGCAAGGACACAGAAGUGAGAGAGCUGAUAGCCAGUGUGGAGAAUUCUGAACCUCAGGCGUCAUCUGAGACUAAAGAAAUAGGGAAAGAACUGGAAACUACAUCAACACAACAAGAAAUGGCAAAAUUGGACAAACUGGUAUGAUUUGAAUUGCUAAAACACAUGGAAUUGUACGCCUGC